GACGAACGCUGGCGGCGUGCUUAACACAUGCAAGUCGAACGGAAAGGCCCUGCUUUUGUGGGGUGCUCGAGUGGCGAACGGGUGAGUAACACGUGAGUAACCUGCCCUUGACUUUGGGAUAACUUCAGGAAACUGGGGCUAAUACCGGAUAGGAGCUCCUGCUGCAUGGUGGGGGUUGGAAAGUUUCGGCGGUUGGGGAUGGACUCGCGGCUUAUCAGCUUGUUGGUGGGGUAGUGGCUUACCAAGGCUUUGACGGGUAGCCGGCCUGAGAGGGUGACCGGCCACGUGGGGCCUGAGAGAGGCCCCAGCCUCCUACGGGAGGCAGCGGGGGGGAAUAUUGCACAAGGGGGGGAGGCCUGAUGCAGAAGCGCCGGGGGCGGGAGGACGGCUUUCGGGUUGAAAACCUCUUUCGCCUGUGCCGAGGGGUGAGUGACGGUAGUGGAUAAAAAAGCCCCGGCUAACUACGUG
rnacentral:rRNA from 1 species